ACCAGUGUAGUGUAGUGGUUUGAAUAUUCGACUACAAUUCUGGAGAUCAGGGUUGAAUUCCCUGCUCGGCCA